UACGUAGGGUCCGAGCGUUGUCCGGAAUUAUUGGGCGUAAAGAGCUCGUAGGCGGUUUGUCGCGUCUGCUGUGAAAUCCCGAGGCUCAACCUCGGGCCUGCAGUGGGUACGGGCAGACUGGAGUGCGGUAGGGGAGAAUGGAAUUCCUGGUGUAGCGGUGGAAUGCGCAGAUAUCAGGAGGAACACCCGUGGCUAAGGCGGCUCUCUAGUACGGUACUGACGCUGAGACGCGAAAGCGUGGGGAGCGAACAGG
rnacentral:rRNA from 1 species